rnacentral:rRNA from 1 species
AAAUUGAAGAGUUUGAUCAUGGCUCAGAUUGAACGCUGGCGGCAGGCCUAACACAUGCAAGUCGAGCGGAAACGACAUUAUUGAUUCUUCGGAGGAUUUAAUGGGCGUCGAGCGGCGGACGGGUGAGUAAUGCCUAGGAAAUUGCCUUGAUGUGGGGGAUAACCAUUGGAAACGAUGGCUAAUACCGCAUAAUGCCUACGGGCCAAAGAG